AGAGUUUGAUCCUGGCUCAGAUUGAACGCUGGCGGAAUGCUUUACACAUGCAAGUCGAACGGCAGCACGGGGGCAACCCUGGUGGCGAGUGGCGAACGGGUGAGUAAUACAUCGGAACGUGCCCAGUCGUGGGGGAUAACGUAGCGAAAGCUACGCUAAUACCGCAUACGAACUCUGGUUGAAAGCGGGGGAUCGCAAGACCUCGCGCGAUUGGAGCGGCCGAUGGCAGAUUAGGUAGUUGGUGGGGUAAAGGCUCACCAAGCCCACGAUCUGUAGCUGGUCUGAGAGGACGACCAGCCACACUGGGACUGAGACACGGCCCAGACUCCUACGGGAGGCAGCAGUGGGGAAUUUUGGACAAUGGGCGCAAGCCUGAUCCAGCCAUUCCGCGUGCAGGAUGAAGGCCCUCGGGUUGUAAACUGCUUCUGUACGGAACGAAAAGGCCUGGGUUAAUACCUCGGGCUCAUGACGUACC
rnacentral:rRNA from 1 species